GCGAGUUAUGGCCCUCACGGGUCUAAUCCACCAUAAACACCUUUGUGAACCAGUCAGGGGGACUCGGCCGUGAAAGCCCAGGCGAUUAGCGGAAGGGCCCUCCUUUGCAAACCCGUUUAGAAGUCUUGAAAGUACUUUUGUAUAAUCUAGUA
rnacentral:misc_RNA from 1 species